rnacentral:rRNA from 1 species
UGGGGAAUAUUGCACAAUGGGCGAANUNCUGAUGCAGCGACGCCGCGUGAGGGAUGAAGGCCUUCGGGUUGUAAACCUCUUUCAGUAGGGAAGAAGCGAAAGUGACGGUACCUGCAGAAGAAGCGCCGGCUAACUACGUGCCAGCAGCCGCGGUAAUACGUAGGGCGCAAGCGUUGUCCGGAAUUAUUGGGCGUAAAGAGCUCGUAGGCGGUUUGUCGCGUCUGGUGUGAAAACUCAAGGCUCAACCUUGAGCUUGCAUCGGGUACGGGCAGACUAGAGUGUGGUAGGGGUGACUGGAAUUCCUGGUGUAGCGGUGGAAUGCGCAGAUAUCAGGAGGAACACCGAUGGCGAAGGCAGGUCACUGGGCCACUACUGACGCUGAGGAGCGAAAGCAUGGGGAGCGAACAGGAUUAGAUACCCUGGUAGUCCAUGCCGUAAACGUUGGGCACUAGGUGUGGGGCUCAUUCCACGAGUUCCGCGCCGCAGCUAACGCAUUAAGUGCCCCGCCUGGGGAGUACGGCCGCAAGGCU